GAGGAGGAAGAUAGGAGCUAAUUCAACAACUGCUCAGUCAGUUUGAUGGAUGAAAAUAUGGUGUUAGAUGAUGUGAAGUCUUACAGCUCUAUUCUGCCCCUGAACGGCGCACUGGGAUGUAGGAGCAUCGAGGUGGGGGGCGGUUGCAGACCGAGCUCCUUCACGUCGCUUUCGAGAGAGAGGAAAGAAGCGCAGAGGUGUGUGUGGCGGCCCGGCAGAAAUGAAAAGACACAGUCAGCUGUCCGCCGCCGCCGCCUUCUCAGGUAGCACACCUCGACUGGAGGCGAGGUGAUGAAAGAAGGCCUUGUGGGUGUAGAAGCUCUCAGUAUUCAGCCUCGGCGCCGCUCACUCACCGCCAACCUCCGAGGAGAGUUGGAGCUCCUCUUUACAAGCAGAUGUUCCAUUAGAGCCAAAUGGGGGGAAAUUAGAGAUCUGAUGGGAAAUAAAUGCGAAGUGACUUUUAAACAU